rnacentral:tRNA from 1 species
GCGGGCGUAGCUCAAUUGGUAGAGCAUCAGCCUUCCAAGCUGAAUGUUACGAGUUCGAGCCUCGUCGCCCGCU